GCUCGCUCAGUUGAUAGAGCAUGAGGCUCUUCAUCUCAGGGGUGCAGGUUCGAGCCCAACAUUGAGCA